UGAACAUUCCAGGCUCUGUGAACUAAGUGACUGAAGCUGAUUGACACAGGUCAAGGGGACUUCAAGGAAGAAAGCCAGCCUUAGACUGACAUCAGAGAACCAAACUCCGGUGUCUAAGCUCAAGAGGUUAGAAUCCUGAGAACUGUUUGGAAUAAGGAAUCCAAAUAUUGUCUUCCAGCUUCACCUUGUCACGACAGUCCUCGCCAGGGACAGCUGAGCCUUGCGUGGAUGAAACAGUCCCAACGAACACUUUAAAAAGACAAAUGUUCCCGACAGCACUGGUUGAAUUCAAAACUCGGCAGAUCCAUGUUCUUAUCCUUAGACAAGAGAGGGGCCAUAACAAGAUGGAAUGACGGAACAGACGUGAGAGAUGAUGGUACAGUGACUCGGGUAACCCCAGAAAAGGGACAGCUCUUCUACAGCUCAGUGGGGACAGGGACAAAAAGAAACAAUUUCAUUUCAGUCCACCCAGAGGGUCUGCACUUCUCGGAGCCAGAAGGUGGAGAAGAGUAGGGAUGGAGGAAGUUCGAAGUUUUAGGAGUCUGCUCUUGGGUCCCUAGGCAUGAGGACAAGCUUUUCCUGUACUCAAUGCUCAUCUCUCAGUUGUGCCCACAUUGGUACACAUUACUUGCUUUCAACUGCUGCUGCUGCUGUUUCCUAAUUCAAUAAAGAUAUGGCUGGCUCAGCAGAGAGCUGUCAUCCA
rnacentral:lncRNA from 1 species